rnacentral:rRNA from 1 species
GCAGUCGAGGGAGAGCCAUCUUCGGAUGGUGGACACCGGCGAACGGGUGAGUAACACGUAGCUCAUCUACCCCGAAGAGGUGGACAACCACUGGAAACGGUGACUAAUACACCAUAAGCUCCCACUGAGUAGUGAGGUGAGAGAAAAAGCUCCGGCGCUUCGGGAUGAGGCUGCGGCCCAUCAGCUAGAGAUGGUAAGGUAACGGCUUACCAUGGCGACGACGGGUAGGGGACCUGAGAGGGUGACCCCCCACACUGGGACUGAGACACGGCCCAGACUCCUGCGGGAGGCAGCAGUGAGGAAUAUUGCCCAAUGGACGCAAGUCUGAGGCAGCGACGCCGCGUGGAUGAUGAAGGUUUUCGGAUCGUAAAGUCCUUUUCUGUGUGACGAGGUGGACGGUAGCACAGGAAUAAGUCUCGGCUAACUACGUGCCAGCAGCCGCGGUAAAACGUAGGAGGCAAACGUUAUCCGGAGUUACUGGGCGUAAAGAGCGCGCAGGCGGGUUGUUAAGUCUGCCAUGAAAGCUCCCGGCUAAACCGGGAGAGGCUGGUGGAAACUGGCGAUCUUGAGUAGGAGAGAGGGAAGUAGAAUUCCGCGUGUAGUGGUGAAAUGCGUAGAUAUGCGGAGGAAUACCAGAGGCGAAGGCGGCUUCCUGGCUCCUGACUGACGCUGAGGCGCGAUAGCAUGGGU